CACGUAGGGCGCAAGCGUUGUCCGGAAUUAUUGGGCGUAAAGAGCUCGUAGGCGGCUGUCCACGUCGGAUGUGAAAGCUCGGGGCUCAACCCUGAGAGGCCAUUCGAUACGGGAUAGCUAGAGGUAGGUAGGGGAGAUUGGAAUUCCUGGUGUAGCGGUGAAAUGCGCAGAUAUCGGGAGGAACACCAGCGGCGAAGGCGGCACUCUGGGCUGGAACUGACGCUGAGGAGCGAAAGCGUGGGUAGCAAACAGG
rnacentral:rRNA from 1 species